rnacentral:lncRNA from 1 species
AGAAGUGAGAAUCAAAAUUAUGGAUAAGUAUAGGGUUAAGUAAAAAAGAGAAUUAAAGCAACGUAGAGAUUCCUACCCUCAAUUAUGUUCAAAGAUGAGGAUAAUUGACUUUCUUUUUCCCUACUACAAAAUAUGAAAAUACACUAUUUUGUGUUUGAAUGUGUUCAAUUUUUCUUCUUCUUCUUUUUUUCUUUUUUUUAAUGUAAUUUUUUAUCCUAAAUGGUCCUAGGUAGAAUAAAGCAUAUAAUUCAGGAGUGAAAUUUGUGGCCCCAACCAAAAUUCCAUAUACUCUGUCAUUGCAUGGGACUGCAAAAAAUAAUACUCUAAUAAAUUAUUCGUAAUCCACAUAUCAUUUAAUUACCAAAAUAAAGCUUAUGUUAUUAAAGAGUAAAAAGUAUAUAAUACAUUGAACAAUAUUGGUUAUAUACUAAUAUGAAUGUUUCUAUAUAUAAAUACUAAUACGAGUAUGUGUGAUUAUAGAUAAGCCAUGUGUAGCAAUGAACAUAAGGUUGAUGACAAGUGGUAGCAAAGGAUUGAAGUAUGAGCGAAGUAAAAUCCAAGUCUCAUAGAAAGCCAAUCAAAUCCACUCAAGUUUGGCAAAAAUAAUUUUAUUCAUAAUGAUGAAGUUUAGUGGAAUUAGUCAAACCAAGUUAGAGAUUUAAGUGGGUGGAAAAUCCAAGUGAAUAUUGGUUCAAACAUUAUUGUAAGUUUGAUAAAUUAGAAAAGAGGAUUCAAAUAGUAUCAUUUGAAUUUUAUAGUUUAAUACAUGGAUGGAAAUUGGAAAAUUUUGAAAUAUUCACAUGGAAGCAAGAUAUUAAGAAGCUAAAUGAGAAUUGAUUUAAAUCGUGCUUUUGAAAUAAUGAAUGGGAAAUUAGGAAGGAGCCAUGAAAUGAAAUGAAAAGAAAAGAAAGAAAGAAAGAAUGAGCUUCCCUCAGCCACGUGAUCUCCAUGUGCCUAUUUGGCUUAGUUUCAUCAAACAAAGCCCCACACCCCUUCAUCAAACAUCUUCCCUUUCUCACAUCUCUCCUUAUCAACACUUUUUUUUUUCUCUCUAAUUAAUUAUCAAAUUUCUUAAUACUUUAAAUAAUAAAUAAAUAAAUUAUUAUUAUUAUCUAAGUUUUAAAAGUAUAAAAUAUUCGUAAACAUAAAUUUCAAAACCGAAAAGAUUAUCAAACUCAAUUGUAACGAAUAAUUUUAAGUUUUAGAACAUUUGAGACUUGUAACUUUGAGUAAGCAAGUUUGAACUUUUUGACCUCUUUAUCCUUAUCUGAUUAAUUACAUAAAUCUAUUCAUUUUUUAUUUCAAGGAGUAGAGGUUUACCAAAACCUUGCAAUUGAUGAACCUUACAAGCUACUCAUUCUUUAAACUCUCUCUUGUGACAAUUUGUAAUGUUUCAAAAGCUAUGGAAUCAACUUUAAGAAAGUAAUUUGUAUGUCACUAUCACAUAAUAAAUUUAUUUUAUUUUACAUUUAUUUCUUAUAAAGUUUAGAGGGGAGUGAUAACGACUUUAAAUGAAAUUAUUUUCUUAAAAAAAAAAUCAAAAUUUUAAUAUUCUUUUAUAGUUCAAUUACAUUAGAAAAAUCAAUAUUUAAUAUUAUUAUCUUAACCAAUCGAAUCAUAAAUAAGUUUACAAUAAUUGUGAAAAAGGAGAAUCAAACUUUUCACCGUUUGAAAUGAAAGGUAUGUCAAUUCUUGCUUAACUAAGCUCACUUUGACAAUUAACAAUCAAUUGAAUUUUGUCAAUUAAGUCAUCAUUAUCAUAUUAUAUACUUCUAUAUUAUAAAACUCCAACUAUAUACAUUAGCAUAGUAGUUUUAGAAACGGUAGAAAAUAUAGCGAUUAGAUUCAAAAUAUUAACAUUUUUUAAAAAUUUUGAUCUUAGAUAAGAGUUUAUUAGGGAUAAGACUUCGCAAUAUUUGUAAUUUAAAAAAAUGUUAUUACACACGUGAUUAUUAUUCCUUUUAUCCUAAACUUUAUCCUAUAAUGAUAUUAUCUCAAACCAUGUUUUUAUAUGCAAAUUUAGAUAUAGAGAGGAGAUUCAGUUCAUCCUUCCAAUCUAAAAUUGCAUCUCACAGAAUUGCUGCAAAAUAAAGUGAACAAGUGUUUCCAUUGAUUUAAAAUCUUAAAAUUUAUGGAAAUUCUAAACUACCCUUCUAUGGAAAAUUUCACUCCAAUGUAUAACAGUUGAAUUAAGAUAGACAAUGUUAUAAAAUAAGUGUUGAGAAUCAAUGUGUAAGACUCUCCAAGCUCGUCCUACCAAUACAAUUUGUUUGUUUGUUUUUGUUUCCGUUAGGAAAAUUCUAACAAGUCCAUGAACAAAUAACAUAACAAUCAAAUUUGUACAGCUCUAACAGCUCUAGCUAACAAAGUCAAAUAUAUAAUGCGCACAUAAAUUAGCACUCCCAAGAAUUGAUACCACUUUGUUCAUUAUAAACACAUCACAAAAGAAAGUUGCUUAGCACCACAAAUUUAACUAUUAUAUACAAGUUAUAUACUUUCUAAUAAAGUAAUGAUGAACUUAUAAAAAAAUCAGUUACAUCAUCCUCUUUUCUUUUAGAAUUCUCAUAUCUAUUGAGAACAAAUAUUCUUCUACCUAUUGAGAACCUUUAAUUUGAAGAAAGUGAAGCCAAAUCUACCAUAGUAUAAAAAAUUUGGUCUAUAUUAGCAUGUUUUGUUGGCAUAGUCACAUAACUAAAUUUAAGAUUUAUGGAGAGCUAUGACUAAAUUUGACCAUUUGAAAGUACACACUUGAAAUGAAACCAAAUUAAAUUAUAGAAUCUACUUUGUAAGUGAAACCCAUUAGUGACUAAUGUGAGGGAAGGAAAGGCAUUGUAAUCUUGAAACCAUAUCAACCUAGGACAUCAAAUCUUACACAGACAAAGCUUUUGGCUGGAACAUUUGCCGCUGGUCCAAAACCAAAGUGACAACUUACUUUAACUUUUGAAGUUGAAAGGAAAUGAAAAAAGAAAAAAAUGGAAGAGUAAGAAAGAUUUUGUGCUCAGAAUCAGCAUUUAUUUAUGUUGUCUAAUCUUAGAUUAAUCAGGGAUCAGGUACCAUUACAGGGUAGUUUUUGUCUCUGUUCCUUUUAUCUCAAUUAAUAAAGCAAAACCCCAAUUUCCUUCUAAUUAUUGUCUACCCCCAUCCCUCCCUCUUUAGGCUUUAUGUAUAAUAUACCCAUUCUUUUGAUGUUAAUUUUCUUGUCCAUAUUCUAAAUUCUACUCAAAUCUCUCUUUUACUUCUAUUCAAAUACCCCCCCACCUUCCCUCAAUAAUUUUCUUCUUCCUCUCUUGUUUGGCCAAGAGGAAAAAUCUUUCUUGGGAGUUCUUGGUUUCUAAGAGGAGACUUGGGUUUUGUGAGGCUAAGAGAGUUUCAGUUCUUUUGAUGUUUUAUCCUGGUUCUUCUCAGAAGAUUCUCCAUGGGAAACCAAGCCUUUUGCAGCCAUGGAUACUGUUCUUUGACAUGCUCUUGUAUUUUGGUUUUUUGAGUGACUGGUAAGAUGCUUUGAAACUUCCUUAGAAUCCUAAAAGCUGUUUGAUUUAACUCUCAAAGAAUCAUCAUUCAUCAUCCUUUCUAGUUGAAGGCAGAUCAGGAAGAAUCAAAACAAAGCCCCCCUUUUUACAAUUGAGCUUUGAUUGAGGUCCUGAGAAGAGAGAGCUAGAAGGUGUGAACAGAGAACACAAGGGUUUUAUUGGUACAUGAGUGGAUAUGAAUUUCCUACUUUAAGUCUCUAUUAUGAAGCGAUUCAGCCAUCAAAGAAUUAUAGGGUUCUGAAUUAUCAAGUUUCACUGUAGAAUUUCAUCAACCAGGUUCAAGAUCUAAAAGUGAAUUACCUGACAGAACCAAUCCUGUUGUUGCUUUGGAGUAAUUAGCAGCUCCUAUGAGGAUGGAGUCCAAUCACCACCGUCCGCGUCCCCCUCGCCUCCUCCUCGACCCCGACACGACGGCACCACCGUCAAAUGGAAGCAGAACGCGAAAUU